GGUUCCAUAGUGUAGCGGUUAGCACAUCUGCUUUACAGGCAGAAGGUCCUGGGUUCAUGUCUCAGUGGAGCCA
rnacentral:tRNA from 1 species